UACGAGUGCCCCAAGCGUUAUCCGGAAUUAUUGGGCGUAAAGGGUGUGUAGGUGGUUUUGUUAGUCUUCUGUUAAAGCUCUCGGCUUAACCGGGAACAUGCAGAGGAAACGGCAAAACUAGAGGAUGCGAGAGGUGUGCGGAACUCAUGGUGUAGGGGUGAAAUCCGUUGAUAUCAUGGGGAACACCGAAAGCGAAGGCAGCACACUGGCGCACUCCUGACACUGAAACACGAAAGCGUGGGUAGCGAAUGGG
rnacentral:rRNA from 1 species